GAUGAACGCUGGCGGCGUGCCUAAUACAUGCAAGUCGAGCGAACAGACGAGGAGCUUGCUCCUCUGACGUUAGCGGCGGACGGGUGAGUAACACGUGGAUAACCUACCUAUAAGACUGGGAUAACUUCGGGAAACCGGAGCUAAUACCGGAUAAUAUAUUGAACCGCAUGGUUCAAUAGUGAAAGACGGGUUUGCUGUCACUUAUGGAUGGAUCCGCGCCGCAUUAGCUAGUUGGUAAGGUAACGGCUUACCAAGGCAACGAUGCGUAGCCGACCUGAGAGGGUGAUCGGCCACACUGGAACUGAGACACGGUCCAGACUCCUACGGGAGGCAGCAGUAGGGAAUCUUCCGCAAUGGGCGAAAGCCUUACGGAGCAACGCCGCGUGAGUGAUGAAGGUCUUCGGAUCGUAAAACUCUGUUAUUAGGGAAGAACAAAUGUGUAAGUAACUAUGCACGUCUUGACGGUACCUAAUCAGAAAGCCACGGCUAACUACGUG
rnacentral:rRNA from 1 species